AGCUCCAAUAGCGUAUAUUAAAGUUGUUGCGGUUAAAGCUCGUAGUUGGAUUUCUGUCUGGGAUGGUCGGUCCGCACUUUGUGCGUGCAUCUGAUGCGUCCUCGGCAUCCUUCUGAAGGACAUUGUACUUUAUUGUAUGAUGGAUUUCAGAACUUUUACUUUGAGGAAAUUAGAGUGUUCACAGCAAGCAAGCGCUUUGAAUACAUUAGCAUGGAAUAAUAAUAUAGGACCUUCAGUACUAUUUUGUUGGUUCUAGAGCUGAGGUAA
rnacentral:rRNA from 1 species